GGUUAGUGGCGAACGGGUGAGUAAUAUAUCGGAACAUAUCCGGAAGUGGGGGAUAACGUAGCGAAAGUUACGCUAAUACCGCAUAUGCCCUGAGGGGGAAAGGGGGGGAUCGCAAGACCUCUCGCUUUCGGAGUGGCCGAUACCGGAUUAGCUAGAUGGUGAGGUAAAGGCUCACCAUGGCGACGAUCCGUAGCGGGUCUGAGAGGACGACCCGCCACACUGGAACUGAGACACGGUCCAGACUCCUACGGGAGGCAGCAGUGGGGAAUUUUGGACAAUGGGCGCAAGCCUGAUCCAGCCAUACCGCGUGAGUGAAGAAGGCCUUCGGGUUGUAAAGCUCUUUCAGCCGGAAAGAAAUUGCUUCUAUUAAUACUAGGGGUAGAUGACGGUACCGGAAGAAGAAGCACCGGCUAACUACGUGCCAGCAGCCGCGGUAAUACGUAGGGUGCGAGCGUUAAUCGGAAUUACUGGGCGUAAAGCGUGCGCAGGCGGUUUGGUAAGACAGAUGUGAAAUCCCCGGGCUUAACCUGGGAACUGCAUUUGUGACUGCCAGACUAGAGUGUAGCAGAGGGGGGUAGAAUUCCACGUGUAGCAGUGAAAUGCGUAGAGAUGUGGAGGAAUACCGAUGGCGAAGGCAGCCUCCUGGGCUAACACUGACGCUCAUGCACGAAAGCGUGGGGAGCAAACAGGAUUAGAUACUCUGGUAGUCCACGCCUC
rnacentral:rRNA from 1 species